AUUGAACGCUGGCGGCAUGUUUUACACAUGCAAGUCGAACGGUAACAGCACUUCGGUGGCUGACGAGUGGCGAACGGGUGAGUAAUACAUCGGAACGUGCCUAGUAGUGGGGGAUAACUACUCGAAAGAGUAGCUAAUACCGCAUGAGAUCUAAGGAUGAAAGCAGGGGACCUUCGGGCCUUGCGCUACUAGAGCGGCUGAUGGCAGAUUAGGUAGUUGGUGGGAUAAAAGCUUACCAAGCCGACGAUCUGUAGCUGGUCUGAGAGGACGACCAGCCACACUGGGACUGAGACACGGCCCAGACUCCUACGGGAGGCAGCAGUGGGGAAUUUUGGACAAAGGGCGCAAGCCUGAUCCAGCAAUGCCGCGUGCAGGAUGAAGGCCUUCGGGUUGUAAACUGCUUUUGUACGGAACGAAAAGCCCUCUUCUAAUACAGGAGGGUCAUGACGGUACCGUAAGAAUAAGCACCGGCUAACUACGUG
rnacentral:rRNA from 1 species